rnacentral:rRNA from 1 species
CUCCGGUUGAUCCCGCCGGACCUGACUGCUAUCGGAUUGGUACUAAGCCAUGCGAGUCGUUGUAGCAAUACAAGGCGGACGGCUCAGCAACACGUAGUCAACCUAACCUAUGGACGUGGAUAACCUCGGGAAACUGAGAAUAAACCGCGAUAGAUCAUUAUGCCUGGAAUGGCUUAUGGUUCAAACAAUUUAUUGCCGUAGGAUGGGACUGCGGCCUAUCAGCUUGUUGGUGAGGUAAUGGCCCACCAAGGCUAUAACAGGUACGGGCUCUGAGAGGAGAAGCCCGGAGAUGGGUACUGAGACACGGACCCAGGCCCUAUGGGGCGCAGCAGGCGAGAAACCUUAGCAAUGUGCGAAAGCACGACUAGGUUAAUCCGAGUGAUUUCUGUUGAAGAAAUCUUUUGUCAGUCGUAAAACCACAGACGAAUAAGGGGUGGGCAAGUCUGGUGUCAGCCGCCGCGGUAAUACCAGCACCUCGAGUGGUCAGGAGGUUUAUUGGGCCUAAAGCAUCCGUAGCCGGCUACGCAAGUCUCCGGUUAAAUCCAGCUGCUCAACAGAUGGGCUGCCGGAGAUACUACAUAGCUAGGGAGCGGGAGAGGUAGACGGUAUUCUGUGGGUAGGGGUAAAAUCCACUGAUCCAUAGAGGACCACCAGUGGCGAAGGCGGUCUACCAGAACGCGUUCGACGGUGAGGGAUGAAAGCUGGGGGAGCAAACCGGAUUAGAUACCCGGGUAGUCCCAGCUGUAAACGAUGCAAACUCGGUGAUGCAUUGGCUUAUGGCCAAUGCAGUGCCGCAGGGAAGCCGUUAAGUUUGCCGCCUGGGAAGUACGGACGCAAGUCUGAAACUUAAAGGAAUUGGCGGGGGAGCA